UACGUAGGGUGCAAGCGUUAAUCGGAAUUACUGGGCGUAAAGCGUGCGCAGGCGGUUCGGAAAGUAAGAUGUGAAAUCCCAGGGCUCAACCUUGGAACUGCAUUUUUAACUACCGGGCUAGAGUGUGUCAGAGGGAGGUGGAAUUCCGCGUGUAGCAGUGAAAUGCGUAGAUAUGCGGAGGAACACCGAUGGCGAAGGCAGCCUCCUGGGAUAACACUGACGCUCAGGCACGAAAGCGUGGGGAGCAAACAGG
rnacentral:rRNA from 1 species